UACGGGGGGAGCAAGCGUUGUUCGGAUUUACUGGGCGUAAAGGGCGCGUAGGCGGUCAGCACAAGUCAGUUGUGAAAUCUCCGGGCUUAACUCGGAAAGGUCAACUGAUACUGCGCGACUAGAGUGCGGAAGGGGCAACUGGAAUUCUCGGUGUAGCGGUGAAAUGCGUAGAUAUCGAGAGGAACACCAGUGGCGAAGGCGAGUCUCUGGACGACUCCUGACACUGAGGCACGAAAGCUAGGGGAGCAAACAGG
rnacentral:rRNA from 1 species